rnacentral:rRNA from 1 species
GACGAACGCUGGCGGCGUGCUUAACACAUGCAAGUCGAACGGUAAGGCCCUUCGGGGUACACGAGUGGCGAACGGGUGAGUAGCACGUGGGUGAUCUGCCCUGCACUUCGGGAUAAGCCUGGGAAACUGGGUCUAAUACCGGAUAGGACUCCUGGCUUCAUGGUUGGGGGUGGAAAGCUUUUGCGGUGUGGGAUGGAACCGCGGCCUAUCAGCUUGUUGGUGGGGUAAUGGCCUACCAAGGCGACGACGGGUAGCCGGCCUGAGAGGGUGACCGGUCACACUGGGACUGAGAUACGGCCCAGACUCCUACGGGAGGCAGCAGUGGGGAAUAUUGCACAAUGGGCGCAAGCCUGAUGCAGCGACGCCGCGUGAGGGAUGACGGCCUUCGGGUUGUAAACCUCUUUCAGCUAUGACGAAGCGCAAGUGACGGUAGUAGCAGAAGAAGGACCGGCCAACUACGUGCCAGCCGCCGCGGUAAAAC